UAAUACGAAGGGGGCUAGCGUUGCUCGGAAUCACUGGGCGUAAAGGGCGCGUAGGCGGCGUUUUAAGUCGGGGGUGAAAGCCUGUGGCUCAACCACAGAAUUGCCUUCGAUACUGGGACGCUUGAGUCUGGUAGAGGUUGGUGGAACUGCGAGUGUAGAGGUGAAAUUCGUAGAUAUUCGCAAGAACACCGGUGGCGAAGGCGGCCAACUGGACCAGUACUGACGCUGAGGCGCGAAAGCGUGGGUAGCAAACAGGAUUAGAUACCCUGGUAGUCCACGCCGUAAACGAUGAAUGCCAGCCGUUGGGGGGCUUGCCUCUCAGUGGCGCAGCUAACGCUUUGAGCAUUCCGCCUGGGGAGUACGGUCGCAAGAUUAAAACUUAAAUGAAUUGACGG
rnacentral:rRNA from 1 species